rnacentral:rRNA from 1 species
CAGCCGCCGCGGUAAUACGUAGGUGGCAAGCGUUGUCCGGAAUUAUUGGGCGUAAAGGGCUCGCAGGCGGUUUCUUAAGUCUGAUGUGAAAGCCCCCGGCUCAACCGGGGAGGGUCAUUGGAAACUGGGAAACUUGAGUGCAGAAGAGGAGAGAGGAAUUCCACGUGUAGCGGUGAAAUGCGUAGAGAUGUGGAGGAGCACCAGUGGCGAAGGCGACUCUCUGGUCUGUAACUGACGCUGAGGAGCGAAAGCGUGGGGAGCGAACAGGAUUAGAUACCCGCGUAGUCCCUGUCUCUUAUAC